rnacentral:rRNA from 1 species
CAGCCACACUGGAACUGAGACACGGUCCAGACUCCUACGGGAGGCAGCAGUGGGGAAUAUUGCACAAUGGGCGCAAGCCUGAUGCAGCCAUGCCGCGUGUAUGAAGAAGGCCUUCGGGUUGUAAAGUACUUUCAGCGGGGAGGAAGGUGUUGUGGUUAAUAACCACAGCAAUUGACGUUACCCGCAGAAGAAGCACCGGCUAACUCCGUGCCAGCAGCCGCGGUAAUACGGAGGGUGCAAGCGUUAAUCGGAAUUACUGGGCGUAAAGCGCACGCAGGCGGUCUGUCAAGUCGGAUGUGAAAUCCCCGGGCUCAACCUGGGAACUGCAUUCGAAACUGGCAGGCUAGAGUCUUGUAGAGGGGGGUAGAAUUCCAGGUGUAGCGGUGAAAUGCGUAGAGAUCUGGAGGAAUACCGGUGGCGAAGGCGGCCCCCUGGACAAAGACUGACGCUCAGGUGCGAAAGCGUGGGGAGCAAA